rnacentral:rRNA from 1 species
GAUGAACGCUGGCGGCGUGCCUAAUACAUGCAAGUCGAGCGAACGGACGAGAAGCUUGCUUCUCUGAUGUUAGCGGCGGACGGGUGAGUAACACGUGGAUAACCUACCUAUAAGACUGGGAUAACUUCGGGAAACCGGAGCUAAUACCGGAUGAUAUUUUGAACCGCAUGGUUCAAAAGUGAAAGACGGUCUUGCUGUCACUUAUAGAUGGAUCCGCGCUGCAUUAGCUAGUUGGUAAGGUAACGGCUUACCAAGGCAACGAUGCAUAGCCGACCUGAGAGGGUGAUCGGCCACACUGGAACUGAGACACGGUCCAGACUCCUACGGGAGGCAGCAGUAGGGAAUCUUCCGCAAUGGGCGAAAGCCUGACGGAGCAACGCCGCGUGAGUGAUGAAGGUCUUCGGAUCGUAAAACUCUGUUAUUAGGGAAGAACAUAUGUGUAAGUAACUGUGCACAUCUUGACGGUACCUAACCAGAAAGCCACGGCUAACUACGU